AACUUUCAACAACGGAUCUCUUGGUUCUGGCAUCGAUGAAGAACGCAGCGAAAUGCGAUAAGUAAUGUGAAUUGCAGAAUUCAGCGAAUCAUCGAAUCUUUGAACGCACAUUGCGCCCGCCAGCACUCUGGCGGGCAUGCCUGUCCGAGCGUCAUUU
rnacentral:rRNA from 1 species